UCACAAGUCAAAGAGAAUUUCAUUUUAAUUGCUGUCAAUCGAUCAUAUGUUUGAAUUUUUUUGUUUAUAUGCUAUUAAGGCCUCACACAUAUCUUGACUUUCAGCUUGAUGCAGAUGAUUAACGUGAACUAUAUACAGUACUCCUCCUAUAUAUAGUGAUGAAUGCAAUGGUUCAAAACUUAGCAUAAAGUUAUGAUGAAUAAAUUACGUAGGCAGUUGUUAAAAUUGUUUGGCCCAAAAAUGAAAAACAAAUUUUAAUGAUGGCAAAUCAUUUCUUUGUUUUGAAAAUUAUUCUCCAGAAAAUCUCAAACUUGUUGUAAUUCGUAUUAGGUAUGGAUAUUUUGACUUAAAUCACUCAGAAAUAUUUUUAUUAUCUAAUAUAUAAAAUUCUCGUGUCAAAAGCUUUUGUGCUAAAUUCCUCCUAAAUGGCUUGACCAUUUUUCGUGAAAUUUUGUGUGCUUAUCGGUUAGGUGUGCGCAUCGUCCAACACUAUUUUCUAUCCCGAUCAGACCAGUCUUCGGGUUUUGGUUUUUUUUUUUUUUUUUUUUUUGGUUUUUGUUGCUAAAAAACUCCUCCGAAAUGGCUCUUCCGAUUUUCGUAGAUAUUGGCGAUGGGAAAGUUGCUUUACAUAAAAAUAUUGGAUGCAUCAAAUUACAGACGGACUUCCUCACAAUCAUCGACUCGCAAAAUUCUGUCAUCGAUAACAUAUUUCCCGAUGUACACACACAAUAUUAAAUCAUAAUUGGCUGGCAGAAAGAGCGAUUUUGGCAGCAAAAAAUGUGGACGUCUAUGGGUUAAAUUUAAAGUUGUUGCCUGGGGACUUGGUGUCAUACAAAUCUAUUAAUGCAGUUUGUGACGAAACUGCAACGUCACUGCGACUCCAACGAAACUGUGAUUUAUCCAAUUGAGUUUUUAAAUUCAUUAGAUUUGCCAGGCAUACCUCCACAUCAUUUACAAUUGAAGGUUGGACCUCCGAUCAUUCUGCUUCGUAACUUGAACCCACCACGGCUGUGUAAUGGCACACGAUUAGUCAUUAAAAAACAAAUGAGAAUCGUUAUUGAAGCAAUCAAUUUGAAUGGAAAGUUUCAAGGCGAAAAUGUGUUGCUGUCACGAAUCCCUAUGAUAAAUACAGAUGUGUCAAUUGAAUUCAAACGUAAUCAAUUCCCAAUUAGAUUGGCAUUCGCUAUGACGGUCAAUAAGUCACAAGGCCAGACAUUGUCUGUAUGUGGCUUAGAUUUGGAAAAAUCAUGAUUUUCCCACGGACAACUAUAUGUGGCAUGUUCUCGCGUGGGAAAACCAUCCAGUUUGUUAGUGUUGGCAAAACAACGUUUGCUGGGUAACCUUGUUAUAUUAUAUUAUAUUUUAUUCAUAUAGUCACGUUAAUUAGGCGUUUUUUAAGUUAUCGGAUUGCUAGCAAACUAAAUGGAAAAGUGGAACCUUAGCUCUGAAAGAAAGCUACAGUUGAAAGCUGCAAGUCUCUCCAGGCUUCAAAGUUGAGGAAUACGAGUUCUUGGAUGUGCAAGGCUCCAUGUUGACAAUGGAGGAGAACCAGCGGCGGCGGCCAAUGGCCAGUUCCAACAGGUAAUGCUGCAGAAGUAACCAACCAGAAACAUAAAAUUCUAAGUCAAGGAUCAGAUAAAGGUUAAAGCAGAAUUAAUAAAGGUGAAGCUAUACCAAAACAGAUGGAAGAGAAAUGAAGUUGGCCAAAUUUGACAGAACACUCCAGGAAAUCUCAGAAGCAGAUUGUUAAGUUAUUAGCCUUAAUCCACACAGCAUAGUCAGCAUACCAGUAGAAUAACAUCCUAUUAUUGUAAUACCCGAUACUCAAAAAGAGUAUAGCGGUAUAUUAUAUUUGUGGGGAAAGUGGGUGUGUGUAAGGCCCUGAAGGAAGCGUUGUAUGGGGUCGGAUAAAGUAUAUAUAUUCUUGAUCAGCAUCAAUAUCCGAGUCAAUACAGCCACGUCUGUCUAUCCUUCUGUCUGUCCAUCCGUUUGCCCGUCCGUCCGUCUUGUAUGACGGACUAUAUGAGCGACUAUAUGAGCUAGAGCAACGCAAUUUUUUAUCCAGCCUCCUUUGAUAUAACACAGAAUCAAGUUGGUUUCGAGAUUUUGCACCGCCUCUUUCAGCCCCCCAAAAGGCGAAAAUCUGUGGCAUCCACAGUUAUGUCUAACUGUCCGUCCGUACGUCUUAAUAAGCGCCUAGAUCUCGGGCUACGCCGCCAGAUAUUAGCCAUUGAUCGAUAGAAUAUAUCCAGUGGUGCAGCAGUAAAUUAAAUCCCUAUUAAUCAUUUGCACUGUUCACGUUUUCAUUAUACAUGCUCACACACGGCAGCAGCCUAUGCACCACUCAUCUUUUCGCGCCUUUCUUUCGCCAUCUCUAUCGCUCUCUCGAUCUGUGCCGCUUUCGCUUACAUUAUAGGUCACGUCCGUCUGCCCUUAAAUUUAUACUUUUAUAAAAAUCGAACCGUUUAGGCAAUUUUUAUAUAUUAGAUUUAGAUUUUAUCUGUUUUUAAUUUUUCUAUACAGCUUUUUACAUCCCUAUUUUUGUAUUCUUCCGCCAACAACAGAAAUGUUAUAUCACUCUGAAUGAGGAAGAGCUUGUAAGAGAGAGAGGAAGAAAAUGAGUAAGCGGGUGGAAGGCAUUGCGUAGCCACCAUAAUUUCAUUUUUUUCUUCUGGAUAUACUAUUAUUUUCAGCUGAUUCGGCAAUCUUUGUUUUCGGUUUUUUCGUAUCUUUAACAUUUUAAAUACCACAGACUUUCUUCUUUUGAAGGGGCGAAAUCUUUAAAUACACUUGUAACAGUGUGAUAUAACAGGAGUCUGGUCCCUUAGCUCUUAUAAUCUCGGAGAUCUAGGUGCUUAUUGGGACGGACGGACGGCCAGGCGGAUAUGACUAUAUGGACUCGGCUAUUAAUGCUGAUCAAGAAUAUACUUUAUGAGUGGAUGAAAGGAAUUUCACUAUUCACUAGUCGAUGGUAUCACAACACUUUAUAAGAUCUGGGAGUCGGACUUACUAUAAGUUAUUCAAUUUACCUAGCAACCAAAACAGUAAUUAUAAACAGCAGUCGUACACUCAAACUACGGCCUUUGGAAGCUGACAGGACGCUACAAGCGGCAACUUACACCUUGCUUUCCGGUAAGGAAGGACGGCUCAUGGGCAAGAACAGCAAUGGGCAGAGUGGAGGUUUUUCCGACGAAUCUGGAAGAAAGAUUCAAACCAUUCGGGACAUCUAGUAGAAGAGCAAUGAUGGUCACUGAAAGGCUAAAUAAGACCCACCAGAUGGAGCUCCCUGGAGCGCCAAUCACUUUUCAAGAAAUCUCGGUGGACAUAAAGAAACUUAAGUCCAAGAAGGACGCUGGCGACGAUAGGAUUGACAAUGUGACAAAGCCGCUACCUUUAACGCGUCGCUAAGACUAGCAUACUUCCCAAAAUCCUGGAAAUAUGCCCACAUAAUAAUGUUGCCAAAGGAAAACAACCAUAGACCAAUUAGUCUCAUGUCGACUUUUGGCAAAAUGUUUGACAGCUGCAUCCUACGAAGGGUACUGGAGUCGCCGCUGGUCAAAACAGCCAUGUCAAACUACCGAUUUGGGUUCAGACUUCAGCACCGCACACCCGAUCAACUGCACAGGGUAGUAGAAGACAUACAUGACGGUUUCCAAAACGAACAGUACACUGUGGCUGUUUAUCUGGAUAUUUCCCAGGCUUUCGACAUUGGGGCUCAAGGGACUACGCGCCAAGAUCAAAAUGAUGCUCAACCCUCAGCUGUAUGAAGUUAUCAAAAGCUUUCUGACGGAGAGGACCUUCCGCGUAGUCCAGGAUGGUGCAGCUUCUUUGACCAAGACCAUCAAGGCAGCGUGCUUGGGCCGACACUGUACUGCUUAUUCACCCACGACAUGCCUAAGAAAACUUUUCGAAAGUUUAUCUUUCGCCGUGUUCUUACUUAUUUGAAAAAUAAAUUGCGAAUAUAAGCCAGUAAAUUCUAGUCGCGACCGGCUAGUAUGUUUCCUAUCCACAAUGAAUGAAAAAAAUCCCAAUCUGCGCUAAUUAUAUUAUUAUUGCCAGCUUA